rnacentral:ncRNA from 1 species
ACAGGAGGCUCAACAAUGGGCCCAUCAAUAAGAAAUUAUUGAAUGAGAAUUUGGCUAUAUCGGUGAAAUCCCAAUCAUUUGAAUGGAUAAUACCGAGGAAAGAUUUUGAAAAUAUUUCAGAAAAUCCGUAGAGACUAUACGCCAGAUCCCUCACCAUGAUGGUGAGGGAAUGAUAUAGUCCGACACUCCAAGGAAUUGGAGA